CCUACGGGUGGCAGCAGUGAGGAAUAUUGGUCAAUGGCCGGAAGGCUGAACCAGCCAAGCCGCGGGAGGGAGGAAGGCGCAGAGCGGCGCAGACCUCGGUUGCCGGGGGACAAAAGGCCGGACUCGGCCGGUCCUGAGGGGACCCGGAGAAAAAGCAUCGGCUAACUCCGUGCCAGCAGCCGCGGUAAUACGGGGGAUGCGCGCGUUAUCCGGAUUCAUUGGGUUUAAAGGGUGCGCUGGCGGGCCUUUAAGCCGGCGGUAAAAUCGCGGGGCUCAACCCCGCCGAGCCGUGGGAACUGGGGGCCUUGCGUGCGGCAGAGGCAUGCGGAAUGCGCGGUGUCGCGGU
rnacentral:rRNA from 1 species